rnacentral:rRNA from 1 species
AACGAACGCUGGCGGCAGGCUUAACACAUGCAAGUCGAGCGGGCCCUUCGGGGUCAGCGGCAGACGGGUGAGUAACACGUGGGAACGUACCUUUUGGUUCGGAACAACUCCGGGAAACUGGAGCUAAUACCGGAUAAGCCCUUAGGGGGAAAGAUUUAUCGCCAAAAGAUCGGCCCGCGUCUGAUUAGCUAGUUGGUUGGGUAACGGCCCACCAAGGCGACGAUCAGUAGCUGGUCUGAGAGGAUGAUCAGCCACACUGGGACUGAGACACGGCCCAGACUCCUACGGGAGGCAGCAGUGGGGAAUAUUGGACAAUGGGCGCAAGCCUGAUCCAGCCAUGCCGCGUGAGUGAUGAAGGCCUUAGGGUUGUAAAGCUCUUUUGUCCGGGAAGAUAAUGACUGUACCGGAAGAAUAAGCCCCGGCUAACUUCGUG